UAACUAGAUCUCACUUCACAGGGACAGGGUGGGAAGCUAAUUAAUUCGCUCCUGUGUUGGGAUAAUUAAAAGUAAGAAAUACAAAAUGGAGUCUGUGACAUGUGACUUCAGGAUUCAAUCCUUGUUUACCUCAGGGGCACUGACUCAGAGCUAGCCCCAACUGGUUAGAACUAGGGUGACCAGAUAGCAAAUGUGAAAAAUCGGGACAGGAGGUGGGGGGUAAUAGGCGUCUAUAUACGAAAAAGCCCUGAAUAUCGGGACUGUCCCUAUAAAAUCGGGACAUCUGGUCACCCUAGUUAGAACUGGAUUUUCCAACCUUUGGGCUCCGGACAUUCCACCUGUUUUCCCGCCCAAAUCCCUGAAGGUUCUAUUACCUCAGAUUUACCUCAGGCUUGUUUGGCAUUGCCAUUUGGAACAGUCCACUUUUUUCCCACCUCGACAUCUAUAAAGGACUGACUCCUGUACGAAUGAGGCUGCUGUCCAUCUGAGCAGCAGCCUGUGCAUGGUACGGGUCUCAUCGUGGUUCCAACCAUAUCGACGAGAGUGACACCUAUCCCGAAGACACCGGAGAAGACCUUCAACACCUACCGUAUCCUGCUGUUCCAUCUCCAGAGGGCUUCUCUUCCACAGAGAUCGCCAUUCAUCCGUUGGACUCCUCAGAGUUCCUCCUUGACGGCUUCUCACUAGCCCGAUAGUAGAGGUCCUGAGCAUCGCCAUCGCACACAACCUAGCACCUAGACUGAGAAAUGACUUGCUUGAAGAUUCCCCUAUGUACCAGUUAACAGCAGAUUAUCAGACAUAUUUAGGCUAGCACCAAUCGUAUCAGGUACAGAGAGAGCAUGAAACCAAAUCAAAAACCCGUGGAAGCGUGCAAUCGUCUGAUACCUGGAUACACAGGCUAUGUCCCCCAAAGAUUCUAUAGAAUUGGCACUACUUAUGGAGAUGAUUCAAUGGCAUGUAUGACCUUAUUCCACAAUGCUACUCAAAGAAGCAGAGAUGCACAGAAUGGGCUGAGAUACAUAGCAGCCACUACUCCCAAACUUCCAUCUAUUUGCUCCAAUGAAGAUGUUUUACAAGCACUUUAUGACUAUAAUUCUAAACACCAUCCUUAUAUGCUAGGUACUGUAUUUAAGUUGUAAUGAACUUGAUUUCAGCCAAACAUUCAAUUAAUGUUACUAGUACAAUGUGAAUUAUAAUUACAGUCUUCAUGGGCAUAGUAAGAACCAAAUUUUACCUUAGUUGCUAGCACAUUGCUCUGAUUUCUGUGGGAGUUACACACACGUGCAUUCAGUGACAGAAUUUGGCCCCUAUAUCUUUCAUUUCUAUUCUAAAUUUUGAGGUUUCUCAAAUAGGUGUGUUUAUAUUUAAGGACAGAGUCUCAUCUUGAUGUGAAACAUUUUACAUGGAUCUUGCAUCAAUUGUAAUUGUUAUCCAGAAAUCCUUCCAUAAAUGGGGUUCCAAAUGGACUCAUGCAAUAGCAUGCUCUCAAAUUGUGCUAUUAUCUAAAAAUCUGAACCCAAUAUUUUCAAACCUGGCUGCUUAAACCUAGAGUAAAACCAACCUGCUGUUCUGAGGGGCUAAGCACUUGCUGCCCAGAUUGACCUCAGUAGGAACUACAAAUGGCCACCAUCCCUGAAAAUCUGUCAUCUUAUCUGGGUAUCUAAUUUUAGGCACUCAGAUUUGAAAAUAUUGGCCUACCUUUCUGGGGCUUGAUUCUGCCACCUUUACUCAUGAGAGAGAGAGAGAGAAUGAAUUCUUAAAGUAGUCUUGAGGAAAAGCAGUCUCAUGUAUCCUGGUUUUCCCUUCAGCAAUAGCUUCUUUCCAAAUCUUUCCUUGGGCUCCUCACUCUGGAUAAGUGAGCCCCUGUUGUGGUUCUCCAUGAUUCAUAGACUAUGAGUAUCCAUGAACUCCAAACACCAAGGCCCAAACAUGACUUCAAGUGCUUUGACUCAAGCUGAGCUCAAACCCAAUUGCCCGUCAUGGAUUUCUAACUACCCGCUGCGGCACUCUAGCAUUUCUCAUCUUAUCAGAAGCGUUCCAGGACCAGGACCACCCUGUAAAAGAUGUUCAGAACUUCCUCCUGCAGUUACCUUAGAAACCCCAAUGUCAUCAGAUAGAAUGUUCCUGAGUGACAGUUCUUAAGUCUGUAACUAGUGCCUUUCUUCCUACAUAACUUAACGCACCACUGAAUAGCAGCCAGCUCUGUCUGAACGUGGCAAUGCACAACAAGACAACAUUGCAGUUUAGAAUAGAACGUUCAACUGUGUCCUGUUGAAACUGCAAGGCAUCUUUCAGCAGGUAGAAUGUAAUUUCCUGUGUUGGAAUUUUGACAGGCCAUGGGUACUAACAUAUAUUUAUAUGCGUGAGCCUAUUCCCUACUUAGGCACUGACACAAAACCCAUUACGUUCAAUGGAAAGACUCUUACUGGCUUCAGUGGGCUUUGGAUCAUGUCUUUAAUGACCAUUGGCCAAAUUCUAAAGACCUUUCCUAGCCUGAGGAAGGACUGAUUCAAAAGUGAGGAAGGACUUCAGGAUCUGGGCCCAUAAAAGAGAAAAAGUUAUCUAGGCACCACUAAGGGGCAUAUCAAAAGUGGUGAGACCCACUCUUGGUGAUAUAAAGUGACUAAUGAACAUUCUAUGAAGCAUGUCAAUUAACUGAGAACAUUUGUUAUAAGACAGGAACCUUUUUAUCCCGUAUGGUAAAUAUAAGCAGAUAUUUUCUUGGGCAGUUAGGUGUAAUUUUGAGGUGGCAUUUAUUUG